rnacentral:rRNA from 1 species
CCUACGGGUGGCAGCAGUGAGGAAUAUUGGUCAAUGGGCGGGAGCCUGAACCAGCCAAGUCGCGUGAGGGAAGCCGGUCCUAUGGAUUGUAAACCUCUUUAGGCGGGGAGCAAUGCCGGGCACGCGUGCCCGGAGGGAGAGUACCCGAAGAAAAAGCAUCGGCUAACUCCGUGCCAGCAGCCGCGGUACUACGGAGGAUGCGAGCGUUAUCCGGGUUUAUGGGGUUUAAAGGGUGAGCAGGCGGAUUUUUAAGUCAGCGGUGAAAUCGUGGGGCUCAAACCCAUCCAGCCGUUGAAACUGGGGAUCUAGAGUGUGCGAGAGGUAUGCGGAAUGCGUGGUGUAGCGGUGAAAUGCAUAGAUAUC